GCCCUUGUAGAUGAAUCGUUACAUCAUCCAUUCCUUGUAACUAAAAUUUCCAGGCGUAAUUAGAAGGUGGAGGUUCGAAUCCUCCCUGGGGUA